UGGGGAAUAUUGGACAAUGGGCGAAAGCCUGAUCCAGCCAUGCCGCGUGUGUGAAGAAGGUCUUCGGAUUGUAAAGCACUUUAAGUUGGGAGGAAGGGCAGUAAGCGAAUACCUUGCUGUUUUGACGUUACCGACAGAAUAAGCACCGGCUAACUCUGUGCCAGCAGCCGCGGUAAUACAGAGGGUGCAAGCGUUAAUCGGAAUUACUGGGCGUAAAGUGCGCGUAGGUGGUUCGUUAAGUUGAAUGUGAAAGCCCCGGGCUCAACCUGGGAACUGCAUCCAAAACUGGCGAGCUAGAGUAGGGCAGAGGGUGGUGGAAUUUCCUGUGUAGCGGUGAAAUGCGUAGAUAUAGGAAGGAACACCAGUGGCGAAGGCGACCACCUGGGCUCAUACUGACACUGAGGUGCGAAAGCGUGGGGAGCAAACAGG
rnacentral:rRNA from 1 species